rnacentral:rRNA from 1 species
UACGUAGGGGGCAAGCGUUGUCCGGAAUUAUUGGGCGUAAAGGGUGCGUAGGCGGUUUUGUAAGUCUUGUGUGAAAUCUUCAGGCUCAACUUGAAGACUGCACGAGAAACUGCAGGGCUUGAGUGUGGGAGAGGUGAGUGGAAUUCCUGGUGUAGCGGUGAAAUGCGUAGAUAUCAGGAGGAACACCUGUGGCGAAAGCGGCUCACUGGACCACAACUGACGCUGAUGCACGAAAGCUAGGGGAGCAAACAGG